CCGAAACGCGUUCACGUCUGGGUAUCCUGCGGGACGUGAAAAUUUUAAGAUGGCAAGGGAGGAUAUGUACAUUUGAUAGGGCGGUCCAUUAGUGGGGGAAACAAAGGGGAAAAAAACAAAAACAUAAAUAAGAUAUUCGAGAAGCUUUAGGCUUUUUAGUGAACGAAUAAAAUAGAAAAAAACGGAAGAAGAAGAAGUUUAGAUACGCGGGAUAAUGAACGAUCCAGAGAGAGAGAGAAAAGAACGGUUCUGCUUGAAUGGAACCUUUAGAUUAGUCUAAUUGCAGAUCCAAAUUCUUGGUGUCUCCUAAUAAUCGCUUUUAUAAUCGUGUUAUUAUCAGUAUUAUUAUUUAAUCGAUCAUAAUCGGAAUCAUAAUCGGAAUCAUCGAGAUGAUAAAACCACAUAGAACGUUCGAAUAAUCUUUUUAUAUAUUCUUUCCAGCCAUUUUAUCUCGUUCUUUUUCAUUCGUUCGUUCUCUUACUCAUUCUCAUUCUCUUUCUCUCUCUUUUUCAUCGGCUUAUGAAUCGUUCCUGUUGAAGAGGGAAGAACAUUUUAGACAUCCUCGAUGACACCUCCGCGACGAAUGUUAUUACGUGAUAAAGGAGAGAGCAAAAGAACGUGGUUCGUCUCGUCUUAAGGAAGAUCAGAAGGAGAAGUAAAUAUGGGAAAGGGCGAUAAAAGGGGAAUAGCACAGCGCAGCGACGCGGGAACGAAUCUCGUGGGAAAAUUUACUCAAAGUGUACGAAGGAUCGUUCAAGAUGUCAAGGAUGAAGGAACAUCGAGUGGUCAAACGAAGGAAGAGGUCAUCGAGACGAACGAACGACUGAGGAUAGUCAGGAUACGUCUCGAAGGAAGUUAUGACACCGCUAAACGUGCACUCGUCGACCUUAUGUGCAAGUAUACGAACAGUAAACAAGUUCGUAACGUGUUCCAACGGUACAACCUCCUGAAAGUUAUGAUCAAGGAUGUGAUCAAACUGGAGACGCAGUACUGGACGUUAGUGGAUAUACCAAGGCAAGAGAAACAAGAAACCGUUCUAGCUUUCGUCCUGCGUGCCUGUUCCAUCAUGGAAAAGACUCACAAGAGUGGAGAGGGCGUGAAAACCUCGGCACGAUUGGCAGAGGAAGCUGAGACGAAAAGGGAACGAAUUGAGAGACUCGAGGGCCUGACUACUGCAAUAAUCGAAUCGGAGAAUACCCAUAUGACCAAUGAUCUGUACAGACUGUUGAAAAAGUAUACAGGAUUAAGGAAUCUUAUUCGUGUUCUGAAGGAGGAAUACAACAAUUCGAAGAUAUAUCCGAUGUUUCCACGUUAUACGAUUCUGAAAGAUAUGAUAAAAGACAUAAUGCACAAUCCAGACUACAUGGAGGUUUGUCACGAGUUGGAUCAAGCAUAGCGGCCGGACCCCCUUCACCGUUCGCCACGGAUGACCUUAUAAAUCAAAAGGUCAUUUCGAGGCGCAUCGGUGUAGGGGGUGCACAGACCAUGCAAGAAGAAGAAGAAGAAGAAGAUGAUGAAGAAGAUG
rnacentral:misc_RNA from 1 species